UACAGAGGGUGCGAGCGUUGUCCGGAAUCACUGGGCGUAAAGGGCGCGUAGGCGGCUUUCUAAGUCAGGGGUGAAAUCCGGCAGCUCAACUGUCGCAGUGCCUUUGAUACUGGAGAGCUCGAGGGAGGUAGGGGUCUGUGGAACUUCCGGUGGAGCGGUGAAAUGCGUUGAUAUCGGAAGGAACGCCGGUGGCGAAAGCGACGGACUGGAUCUCUUCUGACGCUGAGGCGCGAAAGCCAGGGGAGCAAACGGG
rnacentral:rRNA from 1 species